rnacentral:misc_RNA from 1 species
UCCGGUUUGUCACCGGCAGUCUGGUGUGAGUCCCCAACUUAAUGCUGGCAACACACCACGGGGGUUGCGCUCGUUGCGGGACUUAACCCAACAUCUCACGACACGAGCUGACGACAGCCAUGCAGCACCUGUGUCACGGUUCCCGAAGGCACCCCCCGAUCUCUCAGGGGUUCCGUGCAUGUCAAGGCCAGGUAAGGUUCUUCGCGUUGCAUCGAAUUAAACCACAUACUCCACCGCUUGUGCGGGCCCCCGUCAAUUCCUUUGAGUUUCAGUCUUGCGACCGUACUCCCCAGGCGGCGAACUUAACGCGUUAGCUGCGGCGCCGGGGGAGUCGACACCCCCAACACCUAGUGCCCAUCGUUUACGGCGUGGACUAC